rnacentral:lncRNA from 1 species
GGAUUUGGAGGCUCGAGUGAAUCUUUCAUUGCUGGUAUGUUGGAUUUUGGAUGUCAUGUUGGAGUUCAACCUGGUUUUCUCAGUGUUAGAUUAAUUCUGGAGUUGAGCUAUGGGCUAUGCCGGAAAUGCCACAGUUUGAGUGGUGAGGUGCAUUGGGUUAUGUUCUUGUGGAGUGUUUUAUCUUUCAAGGACCCAGCGGACGGCUGGGAAGUACUGCUUUUCCUAAUUAGGACCUCACGAUGGAUGUCAGUGCAGAGGUUGCUAUUAUUGAGCCAUUUCCGGCAUUAAGGGACUUUUCGGAUGUGUGUUCCAG